UUCUUGGAGAAUUGGGGCUGGGUUAAAAUUAGAAAAGGUGAUAAAAAAAAAACUUGCGCCACUCUUUCAAUCUGUGGCCUGUUAGACAACGCAGUUUACACUGUGACUCACCAAAUUCACUGUGAAACACAAGAAUAAAAAACAACAGAAAAUAAAAAAAGGGGUGACAAAGAGCAUCACAAUGCAUAUGCGAACAGCUCAGACCCAACUAUUGUCAGGUGAAACAAUGCCUUUGAAAGUAUUCAGGAACCAUCGAGGUGGACGCCAACAUGAGAUGAUGGCAUCUUGUGGAAAGUAAUAUACUUAUGGGGAGUUGGGGGAAAUGGUAUCACUCAGGCCUCAUUCACACUAGGAAUACUUGGAAGCCGUUUCAGGAGGUGUCAGCUGUCGGUAGCUCCCUUAUAGACCCUCUCAGGAAGAGUUUGCGAUCAGCUGUUCUCCCUAACCCGCCCACUUAAGCUUAUUCCGUCCCUCCGUCCCAAGGUGUUAGAUUUUGCCAGAUUACAUUCUUUCAGCAGAUGGCCCAGGAAUCCUGGUAAAAUAUUAGUUUCAAAGGCUACUUAUCUUGGCUUAUUGUUAUAUUGUUUGCUAUAUGUUGUAAAUUAUAAAAAUAAAAACAUUAAUACAUUGUUAGCAGGUAUUAACAUGACUUUAUACACGCGGGACUCAGGAAGGACAAAAGGGUUUUUCAAAUAAAUGCAUUGGAGUUGUUCUUGUAUUGAUGCUCCCCGUCACCGCCAGGGGGAACUAGUGUCUUAUCGACUAUAAAUAAACAAUAAAAGAAGAAAUGUCAACAAAUUGGCUAAACAGUCUAUGCUUUAAUAGUGUGAAACGUCUGCUCCCAACUGGUUUCUUUUCCUGCCCUUCAGAAACAGAUUAAAGAUGGAGGAGGAGGCCCCUCGAACCUAUUAUACCAGAAUGUUUUUAAGUGUCCGGAGCAAGCUUUCCAAAAGCUCUCCAACGUGCCUCCCACGCCAAGAGAGAGAGAAACAUAUAAAACACAGAGAGGAGGGGGGAAGCCUCGUUUCCCAGCCCAAUGCACAAGACCGGACCGAAGAAAACCCGAUUGGAUUUGGCAAACAAGUUGUAAGAGUGGAGGAUAUGGCGAGUGAUCACAGACGGUACAGCGUCCCACUUUCUGGAAAGCCGAACCGAGAGAGAUAUGCAGGGAAGAGUGACCUAACCUCCCACAAUCUCAUGUCUCAAGGCCCCGAAAACCAGCUGGUCCCCACUCGACUUGUUUCAUUGCUAAGGCACAAGACGUUGGUGCAGGAGAUGAGACGGGCUUUGGAGGUCGAACUACACUGCCCUUCUCUCUGUACUGCAUGUGAAGAGGCCCGGGCUUCACUGGCCUUGGAAAGCUUUUAUCAGGAGAAAGAAGACACAACUUGAUGCCGAAGGACGUCAGCAUUACUAACCAAUGGGGCGUGGCAGUUAACCCAGUUUACCGUAUCCUUGUCAAUCAAUUAUUUUUAAUUAAUGAAAUAAUAUUUAAGGCAUUUCACUAUUGUGUUGCAGGACAGCAUGUGCUUUUUGGGAGGGUUGGCGCAGAGCCUUGCCAAAACCUUUCUAUGCCACUAUGAUUUCAGGAGGGAGUACUAGGCAGUGAUAUGCAGGUCACAGCAACCUGUGGUUGCCAUGGCAACAAAUCAGGAACACACGGUUGCCCUGACAACAGAUGAGAUGAGGGGUGACCCUGACAAAAAAACGCAACAGGAACUCAUUUUGCAAGACCUUGCUGUCCUUUUCAGAUAGCUGCAGACAUCACAGGCACAGAACUAAUACGAUGAGGGACGGCCUGUGCGGAGUGAAUCCGACAAAGCACUUUAUUUUAUUUUAUUGGAGGCACAUAGAGAAUGUUACGUAUAGUGGGUUGUAUAUCAAAUUUGGGAUUUAAAUGUAACAUCUACAGCCUGGACUCCUGCUGGAGAUAUAAUUGUAACACUGUGGAAUGUCAACAAACGUCAUCUACAAAUCAUUUGAGUACAAAACAGCCAUUUAUUUUUUUUUGUAUUGUAUUAAAGUUUUAACACACAACACCAUUCAAAGCAUAUAAGUCCCUUUUUUUUUACCUCACGUUCCAGGUUGUGGUCACGUGUACGACAUAAACAUUUAAACAACAUUACAGUUAAUUCAACAUGUCCGAUAAACCUACUGAGGUCUUUCUAUGGUCACAGAAAUACGAGACAGUAAUCCAUAGAAACAUGCUUUCGAAUAACAGUUAAAUUAAAAAGUUGAAAAAGAUAUUUUAAGUGAAUAAACAACAAUAUGAGCAAUACUUCACAACUACUACUACGACACAGUUUUAUUAUUUCCUUCUUUCUUCAAUUUUGGCAGCAGUUCGGUCCAUGGCAAGUAAACCUAAUACACAGUUAUGGUUACAUAUAAACACAGAUCGUUAGUACAGGUUAUGUGGUAUAUUCAUUGCUAAAACUGUAUUAUGGAAACAGCUUUUUAGAGACAGUCAGGCUUCACCUAAAAAACAAAAA